rnacentral:rRNA from 1 species
GACGAACGCUGGCGGCGUGCUUAACACAUGCAAGUCGAGCGGUAAGGCCCUUUCGGGGGUACACGAGCGGCGAACGGGUGAGUAACACGUGGGUGACCUGCCCUCAGCUCUGGGAUAAGCCUGGGGAACUGGGUCUAAUACCGGAUAUGACUCCAUGACGCAUGUUGUGGGGUGGAAAGCCUUGUGCGGCUGAGGAUGGGCCCGCGGCCUAUCAGCUUGUUGGUGGGGUGANGGCCUACCAAGGCGACGACGGGUAGCCGGCCUGAGAGGGCGACCGGCCACACUGGGACUGAGACACGGCCCAGACUCCUACGGGAGGCAGCAGUGGGGAAUCUUGCGCAAUGGGCGAAAGCCUGACGCAGCGACGCCGCGUGAGGGAUGACGG